rnacentral:rRNA from 1 species
CGAACGGGUGAGUAAUGCGUGACCGACCUGCCCCAUACACCGGAAUAGCUCCUGGAAACGGGUGGUAAUGUCGGAUGCUCCAGUUGGAUGCAUGUCCUUCUGGGAAAGAUUCAUCGGUAUGGGAUGGGGUCGCGUCCUAUCAGCUUGAUGGCGGGGUAACGGCCCACCAUGGCUUCGACGGGUAGCCGGCCUGAGAGGGCGACCGGCCACAUUGGGACUGAGAUACGGCCCAGACUCCUAGGGAGGCAGCAUG